UACAGAGGGUGCGAGCGUUGUUCGGAAUUAUUGGGCGUAAAGCGCUUGUAGGCGGCCUGUCAAGUCGCGUGUGAAAUCCCGAGGCUCAACCUCGGAACUGCCUUCGAUACUGCGGGUCUCGAGUCCGGGAGAGGUGAGUGGAAUUCCUAGUGUAGAGGUGAAAUUCGUAGAUAUCGUGAGGAAGACCAGUGGCGAAGGCGGAUCUCUGGACAGUUCCUGACGCUGAGGCGCGAAGGCCGGGGGAGCAAACGGG
rnacentral:rRNA from 1 species